rnacentral:rRNA from 1 species
AUUGAACGCUGGCGGCAGGCCUAACACAUGCAAGUCGAGCGCGAAAGGCCUUCGGGCUGAGUAGAGCGGCGGACGGGUGAGUAACGCGUAGGAAUCUACCUGGUAGUGGGGGACAACUUGGGGAAACUCAAGCUAAUACCGCAUACGCCCUAUGGGGGAAAGUGGGGGACCUUCGGGCCUCACGCUAUCAGAUGAGCCUGCGUAGGAUUAGCUAGUUGGUGAGGUAAAGGCUCACCAAGGCGACGAUCCUUAGCUGGUCUGAGAGGAUGAUCAGCCACACUGGGACUGAGACACGGCCCAGACUCCUACGGGAGGCAGCAGUGGGGAAUAUUGCGCAAUGGGGGCAACCCUGACGCAGCCAUGCCGCGUGUGUGAAGAAGGCCUCGGUUGUAAG